GAGUUUGAUCAUGGCUCAGGAUGAACGCUGGCGGCGUGCCUAAUACAUGCAAGUCGAGCGAACAGACGAGGAGCUUGCUCCUCUGACGUUAGCGGCGGACGGGUGAGUAACACGUGGAUAACCUACCUAUAAGACUGGGAUAACUUCGGGAAACCGGAGCUAAUACCGGAUAAUAUAUUGAACCGCAUGGUUCAAUAGUGAAAGACGGUUUUGCUGUCACUUAUAGAUGGAUCCGCGCCGCAUUAGCUAGUUGGUAAGGUAACGGCUUACCAAGGCGACGAUGCGUAGCCGACCUGAGAGGGUGAUCGGCCACACUGGAACUGAGACACGGUCCAGACUCCUACGGGAGGCAGCAGUAGGGAAUCUUCCGCAAUGGGCGAAAGCCUGACGGAGCAACGCCGCGUGAGUGAUGAAGGUCUUCGGAUCGUAAAACUCUGUUAUUAGGGAAGAACAAAUGUGUAAGUAACUAUGCACGUCUUGACGGUACCUAAUCAGAAAGCCACGGCUAACUACGUGCCAGCAGCCGCGGUAAUACGUAGGUGGCAAGCGUUAUCCGGAAUUAUUGGGCGUAAAGCGCGCGUAGGCGGUUUUUUAAGUCUGAUGUGAAAGCCCACGGCUCAACCGUGGAGGGUCAUUGGAAACUGGAAAACUUGAGUGCAGAAGAGGAAAGUGGAAUUCCAUGUGUAGCGGUGAAAUGCGCAGAGAUAUGGAGGAACACCAGUGGCGAAGGCGACUUUCUGGUCUGUAACUGACGCUGAUGUGCGAAAGCGUGGGGAUCAAACAGGAUUAGAUACCCUGGUAGUCCACGCCGUAAACGAUGAGUGCUAAGUGUUAGGGGGUUUCCGCCCCUUAGUGCUGCAGCUAACGCAUUAAGCACUCCGCCUGGGGAGUACGACCGCAAGGUUGAAACUCAAAGGAAUUGACGGGGACCCGCACAAGCGGUGGAGCAUGUGGUUUAAUUCGAAGCAACGCGAAGAACCUUACCAAAUCUUGACAUCCUCUGACCCCUCUAGAGAUAGAGUUUUCCCCUUCGGGGGACAGAGUAACAGGUGGUGCAUGGUUGUCGUCAGCUCGUGUCGUGAGAUGUUGGGUUAAGUCCCGCAACGAGCGCAACCCUUAAGCUUAGUUGCCAUCAUUAAGUUGGGCACUCUAAGUUGACUGCCGGUGACAAACCGGAGGAAGGUGGGGAUGACGUCAAAUCAUCAUGCCCCUUAUGAUUUGGGCUACACACGUGCUACAAUGGACAAUACAAAGGGCAGCGAAACCGCGAGGUCAAGCAAAUCCCAUAAAGUUGUUCUCAGUUCGGAUUGUAGUCUGCAACUCGA
rnacentral:rRNA from 1 species